AACGAGCCUGUCUACACUCCUAGGUACCCACGAUCCCACGACAAUCCAUUCGUUUUGGUGUCAUCAGAAUCCCCCAUCAAGGAGGAGCGAACCCAUGGCGGGCAUCUUGGUGCGCUGGCCGCAGGGAGCAACUUGUGCGAUCUGUUGCCACGAGCGCCCCUUCCAUUUUCUACCGGGGGCAGCCAUUGGUCUUGGCGCUGAGGUCUUGGCGGCGUUUCCAUGCCGCCGGCCGAGCUCAACCCUGCCGCGGGUGGAGACCCUGAUGUCAUCCGGCCUACUUAUCCUCGUCGCGUGGUUUUGAUCUGGCUGGAGCGCGCUGCCCAACCUGCUUGUACCGGUGAAGGUCAGCGAUGGCAUGGCGCCGAUGACGACCACAAGAAUGUCACCAUCUUCUUCGGCCCGCAGAGCGAUACCGCCGAGGGCCUUUGCCAAGGCUAUGGCGAAGGACGGGAAGGGCUGAUACGGGAAAGCAGUAUUCAGAGUUGUGGAUCUGGUAACUGUCAUCGAUUUACAUUCGUUCCCAGCCAUGAGUUAGUUGUGUGUGUUUGGAAUUUUGAGAGAUUCUUGGAACACAUGUAGCAAAUAGCAACGUGAGCUCUUGCCCUUUUGAUUCGUGUAUUACUCAAUUGAUCAUGUGAGCUCUCGUCAUUCUUAUUCAUGGAUUUCUGAAUUACCCACUUGAGCUUGCUGUUUUGAUUCGUUGAUUGCUAAACUACACACACGAGCUGUCAUUGUUAUGGUUCAUAGAUUGCUUAAUUGCCCCUUUCCUGGUGUGUGCCUUAAUUCACUGAUACUUCUACCUUCCUUUUGUUGUAAAACGUGUGUUCCAAAUGUAUUUAAGACACAUUAUAAGCGUAUGGUAUGGGGAGUGCCUAUGUGCUUUUAACCCACCAGUGACCAUUACAAUUGGUAACGCGUGAAUUGGAAUUGUCUGCAUCAAAUUUUUAUUGUCAUAAGAGUUUCUUUAUUUAUAUGAGAAAUCUACUUAACAGUGCAAUGUUGUCAAAUGGAUUGUUGUUUUCUGUAAAAGAAUGUACCCAUCUACGAGAAUGUAUUUAGAUUCUUGUAUCAAUAACUUGUGCAGAUAAUUGUGUUCAAUAACCACGAAUACAGUUCACUAAGAAGUAUGAAAUUUGCGGAGUUAAAAUUUGCUCACUACCACUACACUGUCUUAUGAAGUAGUGUCCUUUUUGUACUGAAGCGGGGCAAGGACAAGGAGGUUUGACUUAAAAAAUGUUAUAAUUUCCUUGAGAAUAGGCAAUACGAGCUUGAAUAUGAGAUGUGCGUCUGUUGAAGAAGGUGGAAAUGAAAAAAUAAAUAAAUUUAUGUAUUCUAUCUUAUAUCAUGUCUGUAUGGACUUAUGCAGCAAUAUCUAGCAGUGGAUCAGACGGUUCUUAAAUAUAUAACCUUGCUAAAUAUGAAACUAUUUUAAAGGGGAGAUUUAUCUGAUCAAACAAGAUUUUGGGACUGAUUGUUCCUUUGUGGCUAUCAAGCAUUUGUAGUCGCCCUAAAUCGUGGUGGACCACUUAUACAACGUUGUGGUGGUCGGUGGGUACAAGGUUCUGGGUGGCGAUUGUGCUCUUAGAACACAGCUUCAACACCACCUGCAUCACCAAGCUCUUUCCCAUGCGGCUCCUCACUGUUGUGGUGCAGUUUAAUGUGAGGUUGGACAAGGCGUUCAAGGGGAUCAAGAAGAUUGGCAUGCUUGAAUGGGGCUCGCAGGCUGCUUUACUCUCUCUGUGGUAUCAUGUCGUCGAAAUUACAGCGGAUUUGGGGUGGUUUCCCCUGUCGGAAUAGCUGAGCAGGAGCUCUGAUUCUGGGUGCCUGGUCAAAUUCCAUAUUGUUCUCUGUCCGGAUGAAGGAAGGAUUCAAGAUUUUCGAUGCCUGGAUUACAAGAACGGUAAGAUUUGUUCUGUUUCCCCCGUUGCUAGCACCAUUCAUGUUAACUGCAGAUAUCCGAUGGUAGAAGUAGAGAUAGACCUAAUGUUAUUCAAACAAUAUGGCACUUUAUUUGCUUUAGACAGAAGAAUUGGUGGUGUACCUCGUUCUACUAAACCGAACAACUAAAAUCACCUGAAUUUCAACUCUUCUGGGGCAUCUUUGAUGGUAUUUAACAAGGAAACGCGACUAGGAGAAAAUCAUUUCUGCAAAAGGAAAUUUGAACCGACAAUUAACCAUCUAAUUCAUCCAUUGUAAUUACGGGGCGGCUCCACCACACAGAGGAGCAAAUCAAACUUGAAAUGAGGGUCGUAGUCUGUUAGCUUAUCUCUAUUGCCACAAUGAUAAAAUUAGAACAUAAAUUCUUUAUGUUUUUUAACUGUAUAUGUACAUGCAUUUCACAUUACAUAAAACCUUCGAGUAAAAGCAAUCAACUAAUUUUAUAGGCCACGUGCAUUAGAACUAAAAAGUUUGGUAGCACUGCAAUGUUAUGUAUUUUUAAAAAACCUUCGAGUAAAAGUAAUCUGUACAUUUUAUAGGCCAUGUGGAUUACAAUUACUGUUAAGAAAAUAUUUUAUACUAACCUACUGAAUGGAUAGGCCAUUUCGAUUGUUACUACUAGCACUGAAUAAACAUUGAUCUACUGUAUGGUAUUAGAACUGCAAUCCCUAAAGGGUCGUUUUUAUUGGUUUUCUCUUCUAUAUUAUAUGUGCAGCUAAAUAUAUUCCAAGUUAAGCAAACCUUGUACAGUAAGCAAGAUUAUGCAAAUCCAAUAGGGCUUGAGAAGUACCAACACCUACAACCUAACAUGUUAAAUGCCCUCAAUACAUGAAGAAUACUAACAACAUUUGUAUUGUGUGCAACCAGUUGAAUUUACAUUCCUUCAAGUAUCGAGACAUGGAUUGUGGAUAUUUGAAUAAAGUUAGCUAGAAUGUUUAUCUUAGUGGUCACAAAAAGCACCAGAAUAUAUCUUAGAAUGACGUGAACAAAUGGUUACAUAAUAAAGGUUUUCUUUGUACCGAUAACUUUAUUUCGACAUGCUAGCAGCUUGUCAAUGUGUAACUUGCAAGUAGUGGUGGAAUUGCGGAUAUAUCAUAGGCAUGGCUUGGGUAAUAUAGAAUUGAAGUGGCAUGACAAGAUGCUUGAUGAAGGCAUGCAACUCAGGCGUGGGUGUCAGUGCCAACUGAAUUUAUUGACCAAGUGCAACGGGACCAUACGCGUUGAGCAUGUUGGCAGAGCUGUGAAAUGUGCAUUAUAUGCUAAAAAGCAUAUGAUUUAUAAGUGUUUCCUUGUGUUCUACUCCAAGUCAAGGCCCAGCUCCAUGUUUGUCCAUGUUCUCAUGAGGAUACCAACGUAGAUAUUUCCUCGUCACAAUAUGUAUAUUAGCUAUAGCUAUUUUUUUAUAAGCCAUUGUUCAUUUGUUCA